rnacentral:rRNA from 1 species
GACGAACGCUGGCGGCGUGCUUAACACAUGCAAGUCGAACGGUGAAGCGCUUGCCUUUUUGGUGGGUGUGGAUGAGUGGCGAACGGGUGAGUAACACGUGAGUAACCUGCCCUCUUCUUCUGGAUAACCUCAUGAAAGUGGGGCUAAUACGGGGUAUUCCGGGUCUGUCGCAUGGCGGGUUUGGGAAAGAUUGCGCCUUUGGGUGUUUUCGGUGGGGGAUGGGCUCGCGGCCUAUCAGCUUGUUGGUGGGGUGAUGGCCUACCAAGGCGGUGACGGGUAGCCGGCCUGAGAGGGUGGACGGCCACACUGGGACUGAGACACGGCCCAGACUCCUGCGGGAGGCAGCAGUGGGGAAUAUUGCACAAUGGGCGCAAGCCUGAGGCAGCGACGCCGCGUGAGGGAUGGAGGCCUUCGGGUUGUGAACCUCUUUCGCCAGUGAAGCAGGCCUGCUCCUGUGUGGGUGGGUUGACGGUAGCUGGAUAAGAAGCGCCGGCUAACUACGUG